AGCGAACGCUGGCGGCAGGCCUAACACAUGCAAGUCGAACGAACCUUUCGGGGUUAGUGGCGGACGGGUGAGUAACACGUGGGAACGUGCCUUUAGGUUCGGAAUAACUCAGGGAAACUUGUGCUAAUACCGAAUGUGCCCUUCGGGGGAAAGAUUAAUCGCCUUUAGAGCGGCCCGCGUCUGAUUAGCUAGUUGGUUGAGGUAAUGGCUCACCAAGGCGACGAUCAGUAGCUGGUCUGAGAGGAUGAUCAGCCACAUUGGGACUGAGACACGGCCCAAAUCCCAACGGAGGGCAGCGUGGGGGAUCCUGCGGCAAUGGGCGAAGGCCGAAGGCACCCAGGCGGGGUAAAGGUUGAGGGUCUAAGGAUUGUAAAAUUCUUUAACCGGGACGAUAAUGACGGUACCCGGAGAAGAAGCCCCGGCUAACUUCGUG
rnacentral:rRNA from 1 species